rnacentral:rRNA from 1 species
UACGAGGGGGGCAAGCGUUGUUCGGAAUUAUUGGGCGUAAAGCGCACGUAGGCGGCUUUGUAAGUCAGAGGUGAAAGCCUGGAGCUCAACUCCAGAACUGCCUUUGAGACUGCAUCGCUUGAAUCCGGGAGAGGUGAGUGGAAUUCCGAGUGUAGAGGUGAAAUUCGUAGAUAUUCGGAAGAACACCAGUGGCGAAGGCGGCUCACUGGACCGGUAUUGACGCUGAGGUGCGAAAGCGUGGGGAGCAAACAGG